ACAAAUUUGCAAAGCUAAUUUUUUUUCUCUCUCUUCAUGAUUCCCAGGCAUAUGCCACCAAGGUAUGCAUGUAAUUUUCAAAGACACGUUUCUCUGAGAUGGAAGUGAGUCCUCUGUCCCACCUGGUAAAAACUGCCUCUGAAUUUAAAUUCAGGGAACCUGAACAUGAGUAGUACUAAUGUCAUUCUAUCCUCUAAACUCUGUGGCUAUGCAGUAGGCUGCUCCACAUCUGAAGGACUUCUAUAGAAUGGCUGUGAACAAUACUACUUUUUAACAGAUGAUUGUGGCAGUAUUUUGCAUGCUUUAUUCAUAUUACAUGGAAAAGAGUAGGUGUGCAAAGCAGAGUACAUAUCUGUGUGCUGGCUUUGAAUUUACAUUGGGGACAUUUCAACUUCUGAAUGGUGAGGGAAAGAGUAUAUUAAAAGGCAACAAAUUUUUAUUAUUCUUUUUUAUUAUUACUUUUUAAUUUACUGUGAAGCACAGAAAACAGAUGGAAAGCUGUCAAGUUUUCUUUUUUUCCCCAAGAAAACAUAUAACAUACGGAUGAAGUGUUUCUCCAUAAUCACUGCAUGCUUUAGGCUAAACUCAUUGUACUAGUUUAUUUUAACUAAAAUUGCAGAAUAAAUGAAGAAAGCAUCUUUUUAUUGUAACAUUGAGCAUUUUAAUUACAAAGGGAAUUGUGGCUUCUGCCAUUAGCAGUACUACAUUCAUAGAGACAUGCAAGAAGGACCUUGCAUUCUCACAGAAUGGACAUUUCCUUCUGCCCCACAUGCAAAAUAGGGAGCCUGUUGCCCAUUGCACCCUACCAGCACAGUCACAGCCACCCUCACAUGGAGAGUGAUCCUUCCAGUAAAGGGGCAGCCAGAUCAGCUGGAAGAAAUGUUUUCCAUUAUUUGAAUGCAUCAUUAAUUCUUAAUGUUUCAAAUACUCAUUGGAGUAUGACAGAGAACAUCAGUCACUUCCAUCAAGACUGGAAUUCAUGGGAGCAAAAGUCCUUUACUAGCAACUAAAACAUUGCUGGGAUAACACUGGAAACACUUGUUCCUAUUUCCACAGGCUCAGCAAUACUUCAGCUGGCCUUUUUAUGGAGGCCAGCUGAGGGUAUGAUACGUACUAGCAGCCUGUACAGAAAUCACACUUCCACUGGAACAUGCCAGUUCAAGACUAGUCUAACCUCAGCUCUUUACUUGGGAGAUUUUACACCUAGGAGCAGUGAAAAGGAUGCUUUUAAAUCAUUAUAUAUUGAACAGCUACAAAAUUAAUUGCAAUUCAUAUUGUUAAAUUUUCCUAAUCACUUAUCUUCUGCCUAAAAUGUUACUCUUUAAAAAAAUGUGUUUAUUGCAUAAAAAAUCUAGAAAUAAAGAAUCUACUUCUUCCUUGCCCAGAUUUUUAUCAUAAAAAAUGUUUUUAAUCUUCUAGUUUAUGUAACUAUUUCAAAGUUAGUGGAAGAGGAUAUGAUAUCUGCAACAAGUAUAAAUUUCAAUAAUGCUUCUAUUUUGUGGUAAAAGAAUACUUUAUUGAAAAAAUAACACACUUAGUAAAGAAGCUAAGGGAAAUUGUUUUUCCUUGAUGCUGAUGACCUGUAAAACUUCCUGAAAUGGAUUAAAUAUUAUCAUCAGUCCAGCCACCUUCAGAUAAAAUGAAAUAAUGAUUUGUGUGCAAGCAGGUUACAAGAGAUUGACUGGAAGAGCCUGAAAAGAGAACACAAUAAUGACAUGACUGGCUUGAGAAGAUAAAGUAAUAAUUCCAAACAAGCAAUAGGAAUUAUCCAUCACUGAGUGCUCAGUUUGAAAUUGCUCUGUGAUUUAGGCACUUCUCUUCAAUUAAUUACUGAAGAAAGGAAUGGAAGACCAAAAAAACACAACAAGCCCUUAAACAUUUCUUAAUCAUCUCCAAGUCCACAAAUGUAGAACUAUCUCAGUACAAACUGCAUGGUUUUGCUUGGUUACAGUCACCACAGUAACACCCAUGUAGCUGUUAAGCAGCUCAUCUUCUGGAAAAAAGAAGAGGAUAAAGCAUAAAUUAGGAAGCAAUAUACAUACCAGAUACUGCAAUGCAUCACAGGAGCGUCAGUGGCACCAUAUGGACUCUGACAAUUGGUCAGUGCAACAAGCACACCAGAGGCUGAGGCUUCUGCCUCCAGGCUGGUACCUCUGCAAAUCCACAGGGGGAAGAGUUAGAAGGACAUUUGGAGAUUAAAGCCUCUGUGACAGGAGCAGGUGCAUGGGGAUGUGAGGACAUUCCUGAGCUGUCAGUAGGGCCAUGCCUCUCUGUCCUGCUGAGGACAGGGAGACACGAGCAACUGGGCUGAUGGAGCAAGGGCACAGCUUGAGAGGAGCCAGCCAGACCCGGCUCCACAGCAGAACUGUGGAUUCCAUAUCAAACCUUGUCCAUCCAAAAAACAAUGCUAAAAUUGUUAAGCAGAUCCUGAUGAUGUAUUAGGACAACAGCACGGAAAUGCCACCACAAACUUCGCAGAGGCCACCCAAUAGAAAUGGUCAUUCUGCCAAGAGGUGGUAAGGAAGGAUGUUCAUAGGUAGUGCCAGGAACCACAGAUUUUGUAGACUGGAACAAGCCUUGUAGAAAAAGCUCAAACCCAACCCCCUGCUGUGCCAUUAGCAGCUGUGCUUUCUCUGAAUGACUCUAAUAAUUUGCUGGGUGCUCAUGGCAGAGAUGUAAUGCUAUUAAUUACAGAGGCCCUGGUUGUAGCUCCCAUAGGCAAAACAGAUGUUGUAUGUUACACUCUCUGUGCACAUUAGACUGAAAGAGCAAAGCAUAUUAUCCCCCAACUUAAAGCACUACCUGAGUGAAAUAUUCACAUGAUAAGAGUUGACCUGACUUCUGCUAACUAUUUCCUGGUACAAGAGUCGGAUCAUAUAAUCUGAACUUGGAUCAGUGGCUGAUCCUAUUUUGCAUUAAUAUCCUAAAGGCACAUAGAGACAGAAGCUGGGAAGAAAAAGAAGCUGAGCCUCUUUCCCUCUCACAAAAUAUUGUUCAUAUUGGCCUAGUUUACUCACAAAAAAAAAGAUUGUGGUGAGCUAUUUCCCUGGAAAGAACUGCAUUUCUAAAAAUUUUCACUGGAAUGCCAACAACUCCUAGUUGAACCACAGGCUGAGAGUUCUCAGCCUGUGCUGCCAUGAUAUUUCUGCCUAAAUUAUGAAAAACUGAGAUUCCUUUAAAAAGCCACAGCCUCUUUAUAGUCUUGGGAGGAAAAAACCCAAUACAGAGCUUUAACCACCGCCAGUUCUGCUCCCCCCCAGCAUGUCUGAGACCAGAAUCUGCAAAAAGCUCCUAAGCAAGGACUGCACAUUGCUCCUGCAGUGCUACCUGUUUCCCCAGCAUCCUGUGGAAGGAAUACAUUGAAGCCUAGAGUAGACAUUCUCACUUCUGGGUCUAGAAGCAGCUUGCUUGUUAACUUUUCCUUUGUUCAAAAAUCUCAUUGUUAGACUUACCCAGACAGGAUUUUUUUUCCCUUUUGCCAUUGUUAAUGGAUAACUCUGUCAUGGCUGUUAAAAUGGCAUACGUGAUAUGAGUCAGCAAGUGAAGGUAACACAUACAUGGAGGAGCUGGAAAUUCUUCCUUGUUCCUUUCUGGCCAUCUGAACAGCCUGGUUUUGGUUAGCCAAAUAUUGGGUGGUGCUUCAGAGAAACAACCAGGUAGGCUGAGGCAUAAGCUGUCCCAGGAAGAUAGGGGUUCAUGGCUCCACUUGCUGCUAGGGAAGAAGGCUCAAAGCUGCCAGGCAGUUAAGGCAGCAGGACAACUGAGAAGGAGAAAGGAGCUGAAAUUUAGUGUCAUUGAGCCCAUGGUGCCUCACUGUCUGUUUCAAUUAUAAAUACUGCUUUAAAAUGUAAUUUAUUGUUAUAUCUCUUAAAUACAGUGAAUUUUAUAGACCCAGUCCUAGAGCCAGCACUGUGUCAGUGUCCAAAGGAUGAUUAUGUCAGUGCAGUGUUUUGCUAUCCAAUUACAUAAUGUAUUAAAUAUCACAAUUAAAAAUUUUUUGUAAUUUUUCUCAUAAA